CCCUUAGAUGUUCUGGGCUGCACGCGCGCUACACUGAUACUUUCAGCGAGUCCACCACCUUGCCUGGGAGGGUGGGGUAACCUCUGGAAAGUGCAUCGUGAUGGGGAUCGAUUAUUGUAAUUAUUAAUCUUCAACGAGGAAUUCCUAGUAAGCAUGUGUCAUCAGCCCGUGCUGAUUACGUCCCUGCCCUUUGUACACACCGCCCGUCGCACCUACCGAUUGAAUGGUCCGGUGAAAUCUCGGGACGGCGGCUUGGUCGCUUGCGUCCGACUGCUGAAACUUGAUUAAACCAUAUCAUUUAGAGGAAGGUGAAGUCGUAACA
rnacentral:rRNA from 1 species